CCUACGGGAGGCAGCAGUGAGGAAUAUUGGUCAAUGGGCGCAAGCCUGAACCAGCCAUGCCGCGUGCAGGAAGACGGUCCUAUGGAUUGUAAACUGCUUUUAUUCGGGGAUAAACCUCUUUACGUGUAGAGAGCUGAAGGUACCGAAAGAAUAAGCACCGGCUAACUCCGUGCCAGCAGCCGCGGUAAUACGGAGGGUGCAAGCGUUAUCCGGAAUCAUUGGGUUUAAAGGGUCCGCAGGCGGGAUUGUAAGUCAGUGGUGAAAUCCGGCAGCUCAACUGUCGCACUGCCAUUGAUACUGCAGUCCUUGAAUUUGAUUGGAGUGGGCGGAAUAUGUCAUGUAGCGGUGAAAUGCUUAGAUAUGACAUAGAACACCGAUAGCGAAGGCAGCUCACUAAGUCUGAAUUGACGCUCAUGGACGAAAGCGCGGGUAGCAAACA
rnacentral:rRNA from 1 species